rnacentral:rRNA from 1 species
UUCCGGUUGAUCCUGCCGGACCUGACUGCUAUCGGAUUGAUACUAAGCCAUGCGAGUCUUUGCAGUAAUGCAAGGCAUACGGCUCAGUAACACGUAGUCAACUUACCCUAUGGACGAGGAUAAUCUCGGGAAACUGAGCAUAAUACUCGAUAGAUCAUAAUGCCUGGAAUGGUUUAUGGUUAAAAUGAUUCGUCGCCAUAGGAUGGGACUGCGGCCUAUCAGCUUGUUGGUGAGGUAAUGGCCCACCAAGGCGAUUACAGGUACGGGCUCUGAGAGGAGAAGCCCGGAGAUGGGUACUGAGACAAGGACCCAGGCCCUAUGGGGCGCAGCAGGCGAGAAAACUUUGCAAUGUGCGAAAGCACGACAAGGUUAAUCCGAGUGAUUUCUGCUAAAGAAAUCUUUUGCAAGUCAUAAAACCACUAGUGAAUAAGGGGUGGGCAAGUUCUGGUGUCAGCCGCCGCGGUAAAACCAGCACCUCAAGUGGUCAGGAGGAUUAUUGGGCCUAAAGCAUCCGUAGCCGGCUCUGUAAGUUUUCGGUUAAAUCCAUGUGCUCAACGCAUGGGCUGCCGAAAAUACUGCAUAGCUAGGGAGUGGGAGAGGUAGACGGUACUCGGUAGGAAGGGGUAAAAUCCUUUGAUCUAUCGAUGACCACCUGUGGCGAAGGCGGUCUACCAGAACACGUUCGACGGUGAGGGAUGAAAGCUGGGGGAGCAAACCGGAUUAGAUACCCGGGUAGUCCUAGGUGUAAACGCUGUGGACUUGAUGUUGGGAGUGCUCCGAGCACCCUCAGUGUCGAAGCGAAGGUGAUAAGUCCACUGCCUGGGGAGUACGGUCGCAAGGCUGAAACUUAAAGGAAUUGGCGGGGGAGCACUGCAACCUGAGGAUUGUGCGGUUUAAUUGGAUUCAACGCCGGG